GGCAGGGCAGAGGUCGCAGGCUGCGAACCGCUCUGAUGGAUGAAGUUUGAGACUGCGAGGUUCAUGGCUGGCCAAUGAAGGGGGAAUGUACGAGCACAGAGUCUUAGAAAUCCAUUGCAUCGAUCAAUUAUGAGCUAACUAUAGUCCAAAUGGUAGUCUAUUAGAGCAGGAGGUUACCUGAAGGAGAGGUGGUUCUAGAGGAAAGGCUUGAAGGUUCAAUCUGUUCCAGCAAAAUAAGAUGAGAGAUGCUUGAAGGUUGGAAAUGUGGCAACAAAGCUAUGAGUCACUUUCUGCGGGAUCCAGGUUAGGUCCACAUGCAGUUGGUUCAGUUUUUUGGUUAUUAAGUCAGGGAGCAAGCAAUGCUGGGAGACAUUGUCUAUAUUGCACUCAGGGUUAUUACUCUCUAAUCUCUGUAGUUUUCUUUCAACCCUUUUUCUGCAUGAUCUUGUAUGUUCAAAUUAUUUGUUUGGUACUCAUGAAUAGUUUUUGUUUAGUACUUAGGAAUGUUUCCUUUUUUUGCAAAUAUAUGACUCUGUGCCUGAACUACUACUUUAGCAUUAGUUUAUAUUCUUUAAGUGGAGUUAGGGACCUCAAUAUAGCUCAUCAAAAAGUAAUAUUCUACUCAUUUUUUAAGGAAAAUUAUUAUACAACUUUGUUUGUGAAAAUAUUACUAAAUAACUUUUUUGCAAAAGUUAUGGUCUGGAAAAACUUUGUUGCAAAAUGUUACGUAAUAAGUUUUGUCCUGAAAAUGUUGUUACAUGACCUCUCUCUGAAAUGUUAUUAUAUUUCUCUAUGAAACGUUAUGGAAUAAUUUUUCUCUAAACUAUUAUGGAAUAACUUCUUCUGAAAAUGUUGUUUAAUAACUGUUACAUGGAAGAGUAAUAAAGAAAAGAUUGUGCUGAAGUUUUAUAGAAAAGUUCUCUGAAAAUGUUAUCUACAAAAUGUUCUCUAGGCAUUUUUUUUCUAGAUAACUUUCGUAAGCUAAUAUGUGCAGAAAAGUUAUGAGCGGAUUUUCUAAAUACGUUUUAUAAAAAUUUUGCUAUAUAACAUUUAUUCAUAAUUUGUGCAGAAAAUGUUCUCUUCUCUUUUAUUCAAGACAUCUACUGUAUUUAUUUGUUACCUUCAAAGCAAAUACAAUAUUUUACUUGUGAAAAUGUUAUAUACAAUCUGCUAACUUCAUGAUCCUUCCAUAUUGCAGCGCCAGCACAAUUUCUACUCCUUCUGGAAUUGCCCUUUUUGGCAAUAGCUGGUGAGUAGUCACAUGAUUUGUAUUCCAGUUCAACACCAACCGAUCUAGUAUCCUAAUUGUGUCUGCUGUUGUAUAGGCACAUAUGCUGCUCAAUUUUGUUCCCCUUAGUUUGUUUUGACUCCAAUCUACCGCAUGUACACAAUACAAAUGUGGUCGUAAAAUGAUUUGUGUCGCUAGGCCUAUUCAGUGCAUUUUUGUCUCUGUAUGUUCUCCUUGUCUACUGUGCUAUUUAGUAUUCCUAAGGGAUAGCGAUCUUCAAGAGAAACUUUUCCCUUCAAAAGUUUGUUCAGCAUAGGUCAUUCACAUAAGUUAGACAUAAGAGUUAUUUGUUAUGCACAUAAGUUAUAUACACCAGAAGUUAUAUAUCAGUUAUAAGCUAUGCAAAGAAGUUAUAUAUUUUUAAGGUAUAACUUUUUUCCUUCACAAUUUUUUGUAUGAUAUAAGUUGCACAUAGAUUAAGCAUAGAAUUAUAACUUAUGUAGGUAUAAGUUUAUACACAUAACCUAUAAGUUAUGCACACAACUUAUAUGUCUCAAGUUAUAUACCGGUUAUAAAUUAUGCACCGAAGUUGUAUAUGAGUUAUAAGAUAAUGUUUUUCUAUUUUUUUAAUGUCCGCAUAGCCAUUUGUUUUUGUAUUUACUUUUUUUGAGCCAAUGCAAACUCAAGUUCUUUUAUACAACAUAUAGCCUAUAAUUUAUAUAUAUGUAUAUAGGAUGUGUCAUUAAUAUAAUAACAUUGUUCCAUAGCAGUUUAUGUAAGUUGUGGCCUCAAGUUUUUGUCUUAUGUUAUUAAAUAAUUGCAUAUAACUUUUUGCACGUUAUUAGUUAUGUGGAUAAAUUUGUGCCAUGUCAAUAAGUUAGGAUGAGAGACAACAAUUGUCUAUACAUAUUUUUUCGCAUAAUGUUCGUAAAUUUUGUAUGUGUCAAACAAAUAGAUCAUUUAUAUAUAUUUUUUAUGUGCAUAAAUUAUGUAAAUAAAGUAUUGAGUAUGUCAAACUUAGGGAUAAACUUUAGAGAACAAUAUUUUUUCAUAUACUAUAAUAUAGAACUACUGACUCUAUUCUCAAUUUCUGUUACUUGAAAUGAUAGGCUGUGCCACAUGUACACAGGGUCGAGCAAGAAUUUAGAUCAGUUGUAUAUGGAAGAGAAAUAAGGGGCAAAGUUAUAUAUGACAACUUGUGUAUACAUUUUUUUGUUAACUUGAAUGCUUU